rnacentral:rRNA from 1 species
GUCCACGCCCUAAACGAUGAAUACUCGGUGUCGGGUAGCAAGAUUCGGCGCCUAAGCAAACGCAUUAAGUAUUCCACCUGGGAAGUACGAUCGCAAGGUUGAAACUCAAAGGAAUUGACGGGGGCCCGCACAAGCAGUGGAGCAUGUGGUUUAAUUCGAUGCAACGCGAAGAACCUUACCUGGGCUUGAAAGGCAAGAUUAUAGACGAUGAAAGUCGUUUACCCGCAAGGGGUCUUGUACAGGUGCUGCAUGGCUGUCGU